rnacentral:rRNA from 1 species
AGCGAACGCUGGCGGCGUACUUAACACAUGCAAGUCGAACGAGGAUCAUCGGGUUAGCAAUAAUUCGGUGGUCCUAGUGGCGCACGGGUGAGUAACACGUGGGUGACCUGCCCUUGAGCUCGGGAUACCCCCUCGGAAAGGGGGGCUAAUACCGGAUACGUUCCUCGGUCGAAAGACUGAGGAGGAAAGGUGGCGCAAGCUGCCGCUCUUGGAGGGGCUCGCGGCCUAUCAGCUAGUUGGCGGGGUAACGGCCCACCAAGGCUAUGACGGGUAGCUGGUCUGAGAGGACGACCAGCCACACGGGGACUGAGACACGGCCCCGACUCCUACGGGAGGCAGCAGUGGGGAAUUUUCCGCAAUGGGCGAAAGCCUGACGGAGUGACGCCGCGUGUGGGACGAAGG